UACGUAGGGUGCGAGCGUUGUCCGGAAUUAUUGGGCGUAAAGAGCUCGUAGGCGGUCUGUCGCGUCGAUCGUGAAAACUUGGGGCUUAACCCUGAGCUUGCGGUCGAUACGGGCAUGACUGGAGUUCGGCAGGGGAGACUGGAAUUCCUGGUGUAGCGGUGAAAUGCGCAGAUAUCAGGAGGAACACCGAUGGCGAAGGCAAUCCCCUGGGCCUGCACUGACGCUCAUGCACGAAAGCGUGGGGAGCAAACAGG
rnacentral:rRNA from 1 species